rnacentral:rRNA from 1 species
GAGUUUGAUCUUGGCUCAGAUUGAACGCUGGCGGCAUGCCUUACACAUGCAAGUCGAACGGUAACAGGUCUUCGGAUGCUGACGAGUGGCGAACGGGUGAGUAAUACAUCGGAACGUGCCCGAUCGUGGGGGGAUAACGGAGCGAAAGCUUUGCUAAUACCGCAUACGAUCUACGGAUGAAAGCAGGGGACCGCAAGGCCUUGCGCGGACGGAGCGGCCGAUGGCAGAUUAGGUAGUUGGUGGGAUAAAAGCUUACCAAGCCGACGAUCUGUAGCUGGUCUGAGAGGACGACCAGCCACACUGGGACUGAGACACGGCCCAGACUCCUACGGGAGGCAGCAGUGGGGAAUUUUGGACAAUGGGCGAAAGGCCUGAUCCAGCCAUGCCGCGUGCAGGAUGAAGGCC